UACGAAGGGGGCUAGCGUUGCUCGGAAUGACUGGGCGUAAAGGGCGCGUAGGCGGAUGGCACAGUCAGAUGUGAAAUCCCCGGGCUUAACCUGGGGGCUGCAUUUGAUACGUGUGAUCUAGAGUGAGGAAGAGGGUCGUGGAAUUCCCAGUGUAGAGGUGAAAUUCGUAGAUAUUGGGAAGAACACCGGUGGCGAAGGCGGCGACCUGGUCCUUGACUGACGCUGAGGCGCGAAAGCGUGGGGAGCAAACAGG
rnacentral:rRNA from 1 species